UACGAAGGGGGCUAGCGUUGCUCGGAAUUACUGGGCGUAAAGCGCACGUAGGCGGCUUUCUAAGUCGGAGGUGAAAUCCUGGAGCUCAACUCCAGAACUGCCUUCGAUACUGGAGAGCUUGAGUCCGGGAGAGGUGAGUGGAACUGCGAGUGUAGAGGUGAAAUUCGUAGAUAUUCGCAAGAACACCAGUGGCGAAGGCGGCUCACUGGCCCGAUACUGACGCUGAGGCACGAAAGCGUGGGGAGCAAACAGG
rnacentral:rRNA from 1 species